GCGUCGGUGGCAUGACGGGGAAGCAACGGUCUCCAAAACCGUGAUAUGGGGGUUCGAAUCCCUCACGGCGUACCA
rnacentral:tRNA from 1 species